GCCGGGGUGGUGAAACUGGUAGACACGCGGGAUUCAAAAUCCCGUGCUAGUGAUAGCGUGUCGGUUCGAUUCCGACCCUCGGUA
rnacentral:tRNA from 1 species